UCUGUUUGUUGGGUCGUUGGUGGUCGGUCAGUCAUUCCAUCAGUUGGUCAGUCGGCUGGUUGGUCGGUUAGUCGCUCAGUUGGUUGGUCACUCAGUUAGUUGGUUGCUUUAUUGGUCGAUCAGUUGGCUGAUUAGUUGGUUGGUUGGCUGGUUGUUCGGUUGGUUUGCUAGUUGGUCGGUUGGUCACUCGGUUAGUUGGUCGCUUUAUUGGUUGAUCGGUUUGUCAGUCGGUCCAUUGGUUGGUCGGUCGAUUGAUCGCUUGGUCCGUUGGUUAGCCGCUAAGUUGGUCGCUCGGUUGGUCAGUUAGUCGCUAAAUUGGUUGGUCAGUCGGUUAGUCGCUUGGUUGGUUGGACGGUCAGUCAUUCAGUCAGUUGAACGUGGCGACAUUUCUUCGCCUGAUUGGUUAACCGUUUUCCUUCUGGAAGUCUGACCAAUGGGGGCUGUGCAGCGGACGCCACUGGGGUCAGACAGAAUCAUCACAGAAAACUUGGAGAUCCUUGGAGACUUCAGCCAAUCAGGAAGCACCAGAACAGUCGUUGGUUUGACCGCGGUUCUGUUUGUUAGGAAUCGGAACUCCACGGAUCUGGAGGAUCAAUUGGAGGUUCAGCUCAGGUGUAGGAGUCCAGACGAGGAUCAGGACCGACCCGGCUGGACCUCUGAGACGGAUCAGUGUGUGUCUGUGUGUGUGUGGGGGUGUGUGUGUGUGUGUGUCCCACACCUCCAACAGGUAAAUUGGUGCGACUUCACCUCCGUCCCCUCCUCCCGCUGUCCUGCGCUGUGAUUGGCUGAGCUCUGUUUGGACUGACACAUCUCCAGAGCGACAGAUUGAUGAGAUGAGACCAAAGUUCUGGACUCCAGCUUGUUGUUUUCUCUCGUCUGCUCGUGUUUUGGUGACUUCUGGAAGGUUCAGCUCAUCCGGACGGUUCUGAACUUCCACGUCUUCCCUCUGAGAUCCUCUGGAUACCUGAGGACGACUCCGGUCUGGAACCUGCAGAAAAAGCUUCCAGCUGCUAAUUAGCAGCAGGCUCUUAUCACCGCUCCUUCUGCCUGGACGUUUGCAACCUGCAGAGCAGGAGGCGGGGCCGCGGAGCCACGGAGCCACGGAGCCACGGCGCCGCUGCAUGCUGACGAGGGAAGAAUCUGAUUUCAGCUUCAGCAUCAAGACGGAUGAUCACAGCUGACCUGAACGGAGAGAUUUAGAGGAACCGAAGAAUCCUGCAGAAGAAGCUUCUCUUCCUGUUUCAUCAAGGAGACUUCCUCCAGAUGUGAGGAUCAGCUGUGACGAUCACCACACCCCCUGCUGUCCAGAAGCCCCUCCCCCCUCCCCGGUCGGUGUUCCUCGUUUGGCCCGACACGUCGACCCCAUUGAUCACUUCGGUUACGUCAACAUGUCAGAGUGGAAGUCUGCCUGCUGCCCGUUGCCGUGGCGAUCUGAGCCGGCGUCACACGGGCUGACAGGCUGUCACCGUGGAAACAAGUGAAAAUAAAAGUGAGGUGGCUCGCUCCGCCGCGCCAUCGAUCGGCCCUC